CAGCCAUCACGAAUGAUUUUAGUAGGGAC
rnacentral:piRNA from 1 species